rnacentral:SRP_RNA from 1 species
GGGCAAGUCUCAUACGGGCAGCUCCUGUUGAACUCCCCCAGGGUCGGAAGGCAGCAAGGGUAAACGGUUGUAGCGUCGCGAUAUGAAUAGCUUGCCCAUU